GUGCAGCAGGCUUGGUACCGGGCACGCCGGAGGUGGGUAGUGUGGCGGCAGGCAGCAGGCCUCGCGGGGCUGCUGGUGGUGGUGGAGCAGGACGACCGGCGCCCGUCCUCCUCCUCCUCCAACAGCGGCCCCGCGCUGCCAGCUGCCCGCAGCACAAUCACCAACCCCCAGCGUACCCGGCUAAACACCGUGGGCCC
rnacentral:pre_miRNA from 1 species